rnacentral:rRNA from 1 species
GACAGAGGGUGCAAACGUUGUUCGGAAUUACUGGGCGUAAAGCGCGUGUAGGCUGCUCGGAAAGUCGGAUGUGAAAGCCCUGGGCUCAACCUAGGAAGUGCAUUCGAAACUACCGAGCUGGAGUUCUGGAGAGGAAGGCGGAAUUCUCGGUGUAGAGGUGAAAUUGUAGAUAUCGAGAGGAACACCGGUGGCGAAGGCGGCCUUCUGGACAGUGACUGACGCUGAGACGCGAAAAGCGUGGGGAGCAACAGGGAUUAAGAUACCUGGUACGUCCCACGAGCAAUCAG